GACCACUUAAUUUCUG
rnacentral:tRNA from 1 species